rnacentral:misc_RNA from 1 species
GACGAAGGAUGCAAGCGUUAUCCGGAUUCAUUGGGUUUAAAGGGAGCGUAGGCGGAUUUGUAAGUCAGUGGUGAAAUCUGAUAGCUUAACUAUCAAACUGCCAUUGAUACUGCAGAUCUUGAGUACAGUUGCCGUUGGCGGAAUAUGACAUGUAGUGGUGAAAUACUUAGAUAUGUCAUAGAACACCGAUUGCGAAGGCAGCUAACGAAGCUGUAACUGACGCUGAGGCUCGAAAGUGCGGGGAUCAAACAGG